rnacentral:rRNA from 1 species
CGCUUUUUGAGUUUAAUAAAAAGUACAACCUGCCCACUGAUAGAAUUAAAUGGCCGCGGUAAUUUGACCGUGCGAAGGUAGCAUAAUCAUUAGUCUAUUAAUUGUAGACUGGUAUGAAUGGUUUAAAUGGAAAAUGGCUGUUUCUUGGGUAAUAAUGAAUUUUAAUUUUUUGUGAAGAUGCAGAGAUAAUACUAAAAGACGAGAAGACCCUAUUAAGCUUGAUAUGUUUUGUUUUUAAAAUUAUAAAAUAAGAUAUAUUUUAUUGGGGCGAUAGUAGAGAAUAUGUAACCUCUAUUAGAAUAAUUGAAUUUAACAGACAGAUGAUCCAUAAUGUGUGAGUGUAAGAACAAGUUACUAUAGGGAUAACAGCGUAAUUUUGUCGGAGAGUUCAAAUUGAUGAUGAAGAUUGCGACCUCGAUGUUGAAUUAGGAUACCUUAAAGGUGCAGCUGUUUUUUUAGGUAGACUGUUCGUCUAUUAAAAUCCUACA